UACGUAGGGGGCAAGCGUUGUCCGGAUUUAUUGGGCGUAAAGAGCGUGUAGGCGGUUCGGUAGGUCCAUCGUGAAAACUCGAGGCUCAACCUCGAGACGCCGGUGGAAACCAUCGGGCUAGAGUCCGGAAGAGGAGAGUGGAAUUCCCGGUGUAGACGGUGAAAUGCGGCAGAUAUCGGGAAGAACACCCGUGGCUAAGGCGGCUCUCUAGUACGGUACUGACGCAUGAGACGGCGAAAAG
rnacentral:rRNA from 1 species